AAUAUUGGACAAUGGGGGCAACCCUGAUCCAGCCAUGCCGCGUGUGUGAAGAAGGUCUUCGGAUUGUACCGCUCUGUCCUUGGGGAAGAAGAUCGAAAGAUUUGACGGUACCCGAGGAGGAAGCCCCGGCUAACUACGUGCCAGCAGCCGCGGUAAUACGUAGGGGGCAAGCGUUGUCCGGAAUUAUUGGGCGUAAAGGGUGCGUAGGCGGCUUUUUAAGUCAGAUGUGAAAGACCACGGCUUAACCGUGGGGUUGCAUUUGAAACUGGAAGGCUUGAGUAUCGGAGAGGGUAGUGGAAUUCCCAGUGUAGCGGUGAAAUGCGUAGAUAUUGGGAAGAACACCAGUGGCGAAGGCGACAUACUGGCUCAUUACUGACGCUGAGGCGCGAAAGCGUGGGGAGCAAACA
rnacentral:rRNA from 1 species